UAGGGAAUCUUCGGCAAUGGGGGCAACCCUGACCGAGCAACGCCGCGUGAGUGAAGAAGGUUUUCGGAUCGUAAAGCUCUGUUGUAAGUCAAGAACGAGUGUGAGAGUGGAAAGUUCACACUGUGACGGUAGCUUACCAGAAAGGGACGGCUAACUACGUGCCAGCAGCCGCGGUAAUACGUAGGUCCCGAGCGUUGUCCGGAUUUAUUGGGCGUAAAGCGAGCGCAGGCGGUUUGAUAAGUCUGAAGUUAAAGGCUGUGGCUCAACCAUAGUUCGCUUCGGAAACUGUCAAACUUGAGUGCAGAAGGGGAGAGUGGAAUUCCAUGUGUAGCGGUGAAAUGCGUAGAUAUAUGGAGGAACACCGGUGGCGAAAGCGGCUCUCUGGUCUGUAACUGACGCUGAGGCUCGAAAGCGUGGGGAGCGAACAGGAUUAGAUACCCUGGUAGUCCACGCCGUAAACGAUGAGUGCUAGGUGUUGGAUCCUUUCCGGGAUUCAGUGCCGCAGCUAACGCAUUAAGCACUCCGCCUGGGGAGUACGACCGCAAGGUUG
rnacentral:rRNA from 1 species